GAUGAACGCUGGCGGUAUGCUUAACACAUGCAAGUCGAACGGACUCUUCGGAGUUAGUGGCGGACGGGUGAGUAACGCGUGAGAAUCUGGCUUUGGGUUCGGGACAACCACUGGAAACGGUGGCUAAUACCGGAUGUGCCGAGAGGUAAAAGAGAAAUUGCCUGAAGAUGAGCUCGCGUCUGAUUAGCUAGUUGGUGAGGUAAAGGCUCACCAAGGCAGCGAUCAGUAGCUGGUCUGAGAGGAUGACCAGCCACACUGGGACUGAGACACGGCCCAGACUCCUACGGGAGGCAGCAGUGGGGAAUUUUCCGCAAUAGGCGAAAGCCUGACGGAGCAAUACCGCGUGAGGGAAGAAGGCUCUUGGGUUGUAAACCUCUUUUCUUAGGGAAGAACAAAAUGACGGUACCUAAGGAAUCAGCAUCGGCUAACUCCGUG
rnacentral:rRNA from 1 species